rnacentral:rRNA from 1 species
CCUACGGGGGGCAGCAGUGGGGAAUAUUGCACAAUGGGGGGAACCCUGAUGCAGCGACGCCGCGUGAAGGAAGAAGUAUCUCGGUAUGUAAACUUCUAUCAGCAGGGAAGAAAGAGGACGGUACCUGACUAAGAAGCCCCGGCUAACUACGUGCCAGCAGCCGCGGUAAUACGUAGGGGGCGAGCGUUAUCCGGAUUUACUGGGUGUAAAGGGAGCGUAGACGGCCAUGCAAGCUCGGUGUGAAAGGUGCGGGCACAACCCGCAGACUGCACUGAGAACUGUAUGGCUGGAGUGCCGGAGGGGCG